rnacentral:rRNA from 1 species
UACAGAGGUGGCAAGCGUUGUUCGGAAUUACUGGGCGUAAAGGGCGCGUAGGCGGUUCGUUAAGUCCUGUGUGAAAUCCCCCGGCUCAACUGGGGAACUGCACAGGAAACUAGCGGGCUUGAGUUCGGGAGAGGGAAGCGGAAUUCCGGGUGUAGCGGCGAAAUGCGUAGAUAUCCGGAGGAACACCGGUGGCGAAGGCGGCUUCCUGGACCGACACUGACGCUGAGGCGCGAAAGCUAGGGGAGCAAACGGG